UCGAGCAGGGUCGAAAGACGGACUUAGUGAUCCGGUGGUUCCGCAUGGAAGGGCCAUCGCUCAACGGAUAAAAGCUACCCCGGGGAUAACAGGCUUAUCUCCCCCAAGAGUUCACAUCGACGGGGAGGUUUGGCACCUCGAUGUCGGCUCAUCGCAUCCUGGGGCUGUAGUCGGUCCCAAGGGUUGGGCUGUUCGCCCAUUAAAGCGGUACGCGAGCUGGGUUCAGAACGUCGUGAGACAGUUCGGUCCCUAUCCGUCGUGGGCGUAGGAAAUUUGAGAGGAGCUGUCCUUAGUACGAGAGGACCGGGAUGGACAUACCUCUGGUGUACCAGUUGUCGUGCCAACGGCAUAGCUGGGUAGCUAUGUGUGGACGGGAUAAGUGCUGAAAGCAUCUAAGCAUGAAGCCCCCCUCAAGAUGAGAUUUCCCAACUUCGGUUAUAAGAUCCCUCAAAGA
rnacentral:rRNA from 1 species